AUGGAAUCAUGAGAUUCGCAGGCAAAUGGAUGACACUAGAAGGAACCAUCCUGAGUGAGAUCAGGACGUAAGUUCUGAUUCUGGACCAGCGCCAUGCCUGUCUGCCUGCCUCCAUGCUCCAUGCUAUGAUGGUCAUGACCUCUGACCCUGUGGAACUGUGAGUCCCCAAAGUAAAUGUUUUAAUGUA